rnacentral:rRNA from 1 species
UACAGAGGUCUCAAGCGUUGUUCGGAUUCAUUGGGCGUAAAGGGUGCGUAGGUGGCGCCAUAAGUCAGGUGUGAAAUCUCGGGGCUCAACCCCGAAACUGCACUUGAUACUGUGGUGCUCGAGUACUGGAGAGGAGAUUGGAAUUUACGGUGUAGCAGUGAAAUGCGUAGAUAUCGUAAGGAAGACCAGUGGCGAAGGCGAAUCUCUGGACAGUUACUGACGCUGAGGCACGAAAGCGUGGGGAGCAAACAGG